GCCGGGGUGGCGGAAUUGGCAGACGCGCAUGAUUCAGGUUCAUGUGGGCAUAUCGCCUGUGCGGGUUCAAGUCCCGCCUCCGGCACCA
rnacentral:tRNA from 1 species